UUCUACCAAAGUUUUUCAUUUGUGCACAGCGUUAGUGCUCCUCAGCAAAGUGGGCUGGUCAUGGAUGCCAGACGCCGAUAAAGAGUAUCCAAAGGUUGCAGAAAAGGCAUGACUCUCCCUGAUGACAACCGACAACCUGAGAUUACCUGCUGAACAGCUGGGAGACGCUAACGCAGCGGUAACAUGAGGAACCAUGUCUACAUUAAUCCCACCUUGACCCAGUUCAGAUUAUAACAAUUAUGUCUGGCCAGUGUACACUCCUAGCUGGCUAAUGGUAUGUUAAAACUUCACACCCACCGAAGUCUGAGGCUUCAGGGCACAGCCUGAGCUCGUAUGCCUGAACCAUUUGUGGUCAUGAAGCUCCACUGCUCCCAUUCCUUGUUAUCAUGACACAUCAUAGUGUCACAGCUGGCCUGGAGCACGGAGCCUUGUUUCAUGAGGACAGCCCCUUGACAGCGGUGACACAUCCAGUGGACGACAGCUGGUGCAUUCUGGGUUUUCAGCAAACUGACAGGUGUGGUUCUCUGAUUGGAAGAUCCACUCACAGAUGACCAGACCGCAAGAUCCCUGCACUAAUCACUGUCUCCAGAGGUGGCAAGGGCAGCUGCUCUCCCGACCAUGUGUGUGUGUGUUUGUGUGUAUGUGUGUGUUUGUUAGAUUACACAUGUGAGUAAAUUAGAGGUAAGGGAGGUGCCCACAUGUUGU